rnacentral:rRNA from 1 species
GCUUGAGAGUGGCGAACGGGUGAGUAAUAUAUCGGAACGUGCCCAGUCGUGGGGGAUAACGUAGAGAAAUUUACGCUAAUACCGCAUACGAUCUAAGGAUGAAAGCGGGGGACUCGCAAGGGCCUCGCGCGAUUGGAGCGGCUGAUAUCAGAUUAGCUUGUUGGUGAGGUAAAAGCUCACCAAGGCGACGAUCUGUAGCUGGUUUGAGAGAACGACCAGCCACACUGGGACUGAGGCACGGCCCAGACUCCUACGGGAGGCAGCAGUGGGGAAUUUUGGACAAUGGGCGAAAGCCUGAUCCAGCAAUGCCGCGUGUGGGAAGAAGGCCUUCGGGUUGUAAACCACUUUUGUACGGAACGAUACGGUCUGCUUUAAUACAGUGGGCUAAUGACGGUACCGUAAGAAUAAGCACCGGCUAACUACGUGCCAACAGCCGCGGUAAUACGUAGGGUGCGAGCGUUAUUCGGAAUUACUGGGCGUAAAGCGUGCGCAGGCGGUUAUAUAAGACAGUUGUGAAGUCCCCGGGCUCAACCUGGGAAUUGCAUCUGUGACUGUAUAGCUAGAGUACGGUAGAGGGGGAUGGAAUUCCGCGUGUAGCAGUGAAAUGCGUAGAUAUGCGGAGGAACACCGAUGGCGAAGGCAAUCCCCUGGACCUGU